CCUACGGGUGGCAGCAGUGGGGAAUAUUGCACAAUGGGGGAAACCCUGAUGCAGCGACGCCGCGUGCGCGAAGAAGUAUUUCGGUAUGUAAAGCUCUAUCAGCAGGGAAGAAAAUGACGGUACGUGAGUAAGAAGCUCCGGCUAAAUACGUGCCAACAGCCGCGGUAAUACGGAGGAUGCGAGCGUUAUCCGGAUUUAUGGGGUUUAAAGGGUGCGCAGGCGGAAGAUCAAGUCAGCGGUAAAAUUGAGAGGCUCAACCUCUUCGAGCCGUUGAAACUGGUUUUCUUGAGUGAGCGAGAGGUAUGCGGAAUGCGUGGUGUAGCGGUGAAAUGCAUAGAUAUCACGCAGAACUCCGAUUGCGAAGGCAGCAUACCGGCGCUCAACUGACGCUCAUGCACGAAAGUGUGGGUAUCGAACAGGAUUAGAUACCCGAGUAGUC
rnacentral:rRNA from 1 species